rnacentral:rRNA from 1 species
CACAUGCAAGCCGAGCGGUAGAGAUUCUUCGGAAUCUUGAGAGCGGCGCACGGGUGCGGAACACGUGUGCAACCUGCCUUUAUCUGGGGGAUAGCCUUUCGAAAGGGAGAUUAAUACCCCAUAAUAUAAUGAGUGGCAUCACUUAUUAUUGAAAACUCCGGUGGAUAGAGAUGGGCACGCGCAAGAUUAGAUAGUUGGUGAGGUAACGGCUCACCAAGUCAAUGAUCUUUAGGGGGCCUGAGAGGGUGAUCCCCCACACUGGUACUGAGACACGGACCAGACUCCUACGGGAGGCAGCAGUGAGGAAUAUUGGACAAUGGGUGAGAGCCUGAUCCAGCCAUCCCGCGUGAAGGACGACGGCCCUAUGGGUUGUAAACUUCUUUUGUACAGGGAUAAACCUAUUUACGUGUAAAUAGCUGAAGGUACUGUACGAAUAAGCACCGGCUAACUCCGUGCCAGCAGCCGCGGUAAUACGGAGGGUGCAAGCGUUAUCCGGAUUUAUUGGGUUUAAAGGGUCCGUAGGCGGAUCCGUAAGUCAGUGGUGAAAUCUCAUAGCUUAACUAUGAAACUGCCAUUGAUACUGCGGGUCUUGAGUAAGGUAGAAGUAGCUGGAAUAAGUAGUGUAGCGGUGAAAUGCAUAGAUAUUACUUAGAACACCAAUUGCGAAGGCAGGUUACUAUGUCUUAACUGACGCUGA